rfam:Ovis aries breed Texel chromosome 17, whole genome shotgun sequence.
UCUCUGGUGGUCCAGUGGUUAAGACUCUGCACUGCCAAUGCAGGUGGCUCCGGUUCGAUCCCUGGUUGGGGAA